GAUUAUGGCAGCACCUGCUCUGUCCAGGCUGGCACAGAGGCACCCGGAGGAGCAGCAUCCCCUCACACCUCAUUUCUUCAGAAACGGGGUGAGCGUGGAAGAGAAGGGGACACCAUGGUGGCAGUGCAGAGCCAGGGCAGAGGCUCGUGCGCCAUAUGGAAGGGAACAUUCCUCGUGGUUCGACGGGCACAAUCGUACCGUCUGCCAGCGGCCUUCUGCAGGCUGCACAGGAGCUGCAGGCAGGAUUGAGGGUUGGCUCCUGAGCUGUGCAGCAUGAUCAGGUGUCAGUUUACAUCAGGAUCCCCAUGAAGUGCCAGCAGCCCAGGACAGAGUUAUGACACAAAUCAAGGUGUUGGUUGAAGCUUUGCUCCAGGUGCCACUGCCAAGGUGAGAAUUUUCACAUGAGUCUGUGGUGCUUUCUUUAGCUCCUUGCUGCACUGUUCUUGUUGUCCCUCACAGCAAACAUAAAAUCCUGUCUCUUCUAACAAAAAAUGCUGUCUAUAAUAGAGGAGACUUCCAUUCCUAGAACACCUUAACGCUGACUUAGUCCAAAUGCCAAGCAUAGUUGGAACUAGAAACACUCAUCCUGUAUUUUAGUAUGACUUUGCAGAAGCUAAAAUUUGUCCUCAGAAAACGGUGGUGAAAAAACACAAAGCUAAUUCACUAGGAAGUGUGGUAAAGGACCCCAGCCUUCAUUUACAUUCUCCUUACGUUUCCAGCAGGCGCCCCAAAAGCACCAGUGGUUGGUUGCUUUUGUUUUUUAAAUAGCUAGGAAUAUGUCUCUAUUUCCUGAUUUCUCUGUGGCUGGGGCCUUCCCUGCUCACCUAGAGUUUGAGCAUUCCCUGAUCCUCGGGAUGAAUGAAACAAAGAGUUCAGGUCAGCAGCCCAGGCUGCCCACACUGGCUGGAAAAGUUCCCAGGCUGAUGGUUGUGUGAGGCUCUUGCUCUUGUUUACAAGCAUGGGGGUGGUCUCUAUAAAUCAUUUACUUAGAAAAAUGAAAAUAUGUUCAUAAUACACACUUAUCUAAAGAGCUGCUCUUAAAAAGAGAGACCUUAGGAAGCACCCUACCUCCAAGGAUCAGAGUGUUACACUUACCCUGUUCUCGUAUUUUUUUGCUAAGUAUAUUGCUUCCAUAGAACCACAGAAUGGCCCAGGUUGGAAGGGACCUUAAGGAUCAUGAAUCUCCAACCCCCCUGCCACAGACAGGGCCCCAUCCAACCUGGCCUUGAACACCUCCAGGGAUGGGGCAUCCACAACCUCUCUGGGCAGCCUGUUCCAGCACCUCACCGCUCUCAUAGUAAAGAAUUUCCCCCUGAAAUCCAACCUAAAUCUUCCCUCCUUCAACUUAAAAACCAUCUCCCCUUGUCCUGCUGUUAUCUACCCUUUCAAAGAGUCGAAAAGUUGUUCCCCUGCUAGAAAUGUCUGCAUUCUCAGUCUGGCAUUCAUUUACAGCCAGUUACCUGCAGUAAUUUCAGCCUUAAUUUUAGGACCAUUGUAAUGAGUGUGUGUUGGAGCCUGUUCCACCCUUAAAGCAUCCAUACCCUUUCUUCCGAUCUGAAACAGAAACUACCUUCAAAGAAAGCACAGCUUGAAGAAGUUGCUGACCUUGGGAUGCAUCAUUCUAAUCAGCCAGUGUUUCUAAGCUCUCCUGGUAUUAAAAGACAUCCCAUGAUACUUUAAGACAGCUGCUUUUGAUCACAUUAAACAAUUCUGUGUUAAUGGCAUCUUAGAUUUACCUCCUUAUUCAGAUCAGCAGCAGUUCAGCUGAAAAGCAAAACCACAGGCGGCUGCACAGGUAAGCAACCUGCAUUGCCAGAACUGACUGUUUGCACUAUCCCUGCCCUCUUUAACCAGUUAUUAAUCCACAAGGGAUGACUAUUCCUAUUCCACUGAUGCUGUAUUUUUCCAAAAGCAUCUUUCAUAAGCCAUCCUGAUACAGGCUACUUGGAAAUCCUUUGGCAGUAUGCCGUUGUCCUGUAGGUUGCUCUCACCAAUGUAAGUGGUUAUAAUAAAUUACAAGGCCAUAUGAGGUAGCUCAGUGCAGGCUAUUGUGUAGGUUUCUAUAUGUCUAGGUGAGUGCUCUGGGUUGGUUGAUUUGGGUUUGGUGUGUUAGUUUGUUUGGGAUUUUUUUUUGCACAGAACUAACUAGAAGUGUGAUUCCAUUGGCAAGGAUAAAUGGAGAAGUAAAAAAAGAGUCUGAAAGUGGACCCAGGAGGCAAAUAACUAAACGCUACACAAACCAAGUGUCUUCAGAUCUUCAUGGGGAAAAAAAACUACAGGCCAUGCAAUUGUACUCACACUCUUGAUGCCCAGUCCUCGCAGAGUUAUGUGUGUCUGCCUCCAGCCGUGGCCACCGUUCCUUCCCCACACAGCUGGUCCAUGAGCACCACUUCUCCUCACAAAGACUUGGAGGGCGCCCGAAUGCAGCCCAGGCACCUUAUGUCUGAAUGACAGGCACAAGUCCCCAGCCUGAGCCACGUGGCCCAGCGGCAGAAUAAGAUGUGCUGCUUUUCCCUCUGUGCCUUUGGGUUCAGAGAUGGUGAGAUAUCGUCCCCCUGAAAAACAAAAAGCAAUUCCUUCAUUACCAUUCUACUUAAAAUUUCAGGACCAAACGCAUAAGCACUGUGAAAGAAAUAAAACAGGGCUCCAGGAGGUCCAGCAAGUCUUCAGUAGAGAGUAUUAUAGCUGGAACAUGCACUGGAACUGCCACAUCUCCCUCCCACAAGAAUCAUUUGUAGAGUUUGGAAGAUGUCAAUUUGCA
rnacentral:lncRNA from 1 species